CCCCGGUAAACGGCGGCCGUAACUAUAACGGUCCUAAGGUAGCGAAAUUCCUUGUCGGGUAAGUUCCGACCUGCACGAAUGGCGUAAUGAUGGCCAGGCUGUCUCCACCCGAGACUCAGUGAAAUUGAACUCGCUGUGAAGAUGCAGUGUACCCGCGGCAAGACGGAAAGACCCCGUGAACCUUUACUAUAGCUUGACACUGAACAUUGAGCCUUGAUGUGUAGGAUAGGUGGGAGGCUUUGAAGUGUGGACGCCAGUCUGCAUGGAGCCGACCUUGAAAUACCACCCUUUAAUGUUUGAUGUUCUAACGUGGACCCGUAAUCCGGGUUGCGGACAGUGUCUGGUGGGUAGUUUGACUGGGGCGGUCUCCUCCUAAAGAGUAACGGAGGAGCACGAAGGUUGGCUAAUCCUGGUCGGACAUCAGGAGGUUAGUGCAAUGGCAUAAGCCAGCUUGACUGCGAGCGUGACGGCGCGAGCAGGUGCGAAAGCAGGUCAUAGUGAUCCGGUGGUUCUGAAUGGAAGGGCCAUCGCUCAACGGAUAAAAGGUACUCCGGGGAUAACAGGCUGAUACCGCCCAAGAGUUCAUAUCGACGGCGGUGUUUGGCACCUCGAUGUCGGCUCAUCACAUCCUGGGGCUGAAGUAGGUCCCAAGGGUAUGGCUGUUCGCCAUUUAAAGUGGUACGCGAGCUGGGUUUAGAACGUCGUGAGACAGUUCGGUCCCUA
rnacentral:rRNA from 1 species